rnacentral:rRNA from 1 species
AUUGAACGCUGGCGGCGUGCUUUACACAUGCAAGUCGGACGAGUGGCGAACGGGUGAGUAACGCCUCGGAACGUACCGAGUAGUGGGGGAUAACUAUUCGAAAGGACAGCUAAUACCGCAUACUAUCCGAGCGGCCGAUGUGUGAUUAGCUGGUUGGCGGGGUAAAGGCCCACCAAGGCGACGAUCCGUAGCGGGUCUGAGAGGAUGAUCCGCCACACUGGGACUGAGACACGGCCCAGACUCCUACGGGAGGCAGCAGUGGGGAAUUUUGGACAAUGGGCGCAAGCCUGAUCCAGCCAUGCCGCGUGUCUGAAGAAGGCCUUCGGGUUGUAAAGGACUUUUGUCAGGGAGGCGGUACCUGAAGAAUAAGCACCGACUAACUCCGUGCCAGCAGCCGCGGUAAUUC